UACCACGCCAUUCUCCAUAUGGAAGUAGAUCAAUCGAUAAUCAUGCAUUCCCAGCUGCUGUACAUUUCCUAAAUAAUUUUGUGACAUUGUACAUAUGCAUUUCAUAAAAAAUUUGGCCAUAGUUUUAUCUGGAAAAUUUAAACAACUCAUAAUUGUCGUGUUAUUAUGUCAAUUGUCAUACUUGGCCGAGUAAGCGUGGAAAAUAUCUCUGAUCCAGUGGAGCCCGCACUGGACGUAAACUCCAAUGUAGAGGACCCGCAUCCCGAGAUUGACUACUACCUCGUCCAACUUGACCCAGCUCCCACCCCCCAGAUCUACACGGACCUCUUCUCGUACACUUUCCGCACCCGGAACGCCACUUGUGGCUUCCUAAAACGCUUCCUCGCCGCCUUAACCACGCCACCCAGUACUCCGAUUGUGUAAAGAACAUAUUUUUACCUACAAACGGAAAGCAGUUUGAGAAUGACGCAAAAUUACCAAGAAAUGAAUAUCGUCGUACUAAUUCUUAAAAGACCUAAGUGCAGUCGAUGCUUAAUUGAUGAAAGACCGAAGUGUUCAGAAAAAAAGUAAAAAAUGACCUACGUGCAAGUAUGUAUUUACGUAUGGCUAAAUCGCGCGAUAUAUGAAAUAUCGUUUUGGCAAGAUAUAGCCAUAUGUAAGUAAAUACAUACUUGCACUUAGGUCUUUUUUACUUCUUCCUGUACACUUAGGUCGUUUCUGAAUUAAGCAUCGACUGCACUUGGGUCGUUUCUGAAUUAAGCAUCGACUGCACUUGGGUCAUUUCUGAAUUAAGCAUCGACUGCACUUAGGUUUUUUAUGAAUUAGUAGGACGAUAUGCAUUUAGUAAAGUAGUGGAGGUGAUAAUUUUUUAUGUUCACUAUACUUAUGUCCAAACAUCGCAUGUGUAGUUGCGCAGAUCUGUUACGAAGGGCCGUUUUUGAUGAAUAUCUGGACAUUAUCAACUAAAUAUUACGUGGGUUUUAAAUUUUUUGAGAUGUUCUGGUAGUCAAUUCUUUCAACGUGGUAUUCUACGUUGUCACAAUAUUUCUCGGCGGCACCUCGCUAACCAUUUUCUUCUCCCAGUAAUUCCGUAAAAUGCAACAUCGCGUAAAUACAUAGCUCACUCUCCACUGCACGCCUUCCCAUUCCAUCAGGUUAUCCUUCAGAUAAUACCAACUACGACCAUCACUACUAGCCCAGCAGGAUGACGAGUUCGUUAUUUGGCCACAGAUUGGCGUCAAAUCAUACUGCAAACCGUCAUGAUUUCCACAGGCGUACGCUGUAUCCGUCAAAUUGUGCUUUUCAUACGUGGCAAUGUCAUCGGCUUCAUAUUUGACACGAUCACGGCAUGAAAUUGGCUGGACAACCCUGUGCAUAAAUUCAUCUCCUCCACAGCAUUCUUUAAAUUUUUGAAUAUUUUCCACGUCCAUAUCAAGCUGACAGCUGUCCCGAUUUUUAUAACUGGAACAAUCCAAUCCUACUUUUCUAGU